GCCAGCUGCGCCACCGUGUAAACACAGUCAGCUGACCAGCCUCUUUCUCUCGUCUCCGAGCUCUGUGCACCCACACACACGCCUCUCAAGACCUCUCCCUUUGGCUGUGCUCAUGUACGCAGAGUGCAUGCGAGGAGUGCAGGGUGUUGCGGGAUCGAGGCAUGGUCAAGGCGACAUGGUCUUUGUUAUUUCGAGUGAAUUACAAAUGGGAUCAGAUUCCUUGAACCGAAAGCUGACAUCGUCAGAUCCAGGGUGAUGCAAUCGUGCUCGCGGGAGGUUCUCCUCUGAAUACUGAAGCGGAUUCUAGCGAAGCCACUAGCGACGACCGGCCAAGUAUGUCAUGAUAACUACGAGGCUGACGGAAGACAAGGAAGACUAGUCUUACGAAAGGGAAGAUUUAAAGACGUCGUGUCAAAGAUUAGACGCCUGGAGAACUGGAGAAACAAAGACUAUGCUUACAGAAGGGAAGGAACGGAACGCAGUGUCAAAGAGAGACGCCUGGAGAUUUUUUUCUGCAUAUGUUUUGACAUGUUUUGCAUGUAACGUGUGACAAACAGCAUCUACAGUCGGUUGUGUUAGUCAAAACCCUGGAUUAGUCUACUUGUUUAAACAAGGAUGUGUUCUUGUUUAUUUGCACGUUGAAAGAGUGUUGUUGUGAACUCGUGGCUGUCCCGGAGAGGAAGGAGAACCAGAACUAAAGCCGCCAUCAUGGGAAGAGCGCUCGAACGUGUCAUACAAUCGUUUCUGCUGGCAGAUGGUAAAAGAAAAAAAAAGUUUAUUCAAAUAUUUUCUUCAAAAAAUUGGGAAGCUCAAAAUCAUUGGUUUGUUUUAAAAAAAUAAUAAUGUUCCGAAUGAAUCACUUCUAUAAUAUCAUCAGCAUUUUCGGAAUUCAGCAUUCUGUCUGGGCAGUGAAACAAAUUUCCAGAGUUGUUUUACAUUAGCAUUGGACAACUUUUGGACUUUGUUAGUAUCUGGUUUAGUUAACAGUAAUGUAACCGCCAUCAUUCUCUCGCAGAUUCUAUUUUUUGAUGAUUCGUAAUGGGAUUUCAUGCGGCUAAUGAAUAAUGAAGUAUAUCCAUUUGUUGUAAAGGUUACAUCGGGAAAAUAAGUGGAUUGCAGCCAAUUUUAUGAGUACACCUUAAUGCCUCGUUUGACGCUAAUUUAAUUAAUGUAGAUAUAUUGUAAGCGCUCGCCUAAACUUCCACCAUGUCUACACACUCCACCGUCCAACGUAUAUAUAUUUACAGGUCAUCAACCUAACACAAACAGGGUUUUAAUGUUAUUCAUCCAGUUGUUAAUCAGUUUUUUUGUAAUAACAACUGGAAUGAUAUUGAUUGCAUGUAAUAUGUAUGGUCCUAAUUUAAUACACAUAAAUUGUACGGUACUUAAUGCAAGGGAAAAAAAUACACGAAACACACAGUAAUCACCGACAGAGAUCGACGAUAGAGAACAAGUGUGAUACACGGUAAAAAAAAAAUGUUAUAUAUAGAAUUUGGACGACUAAAUUUCUACUUGUGUUUGAUUACAGGUGUGAUCUCAUAGCGUUUUGUGUGUUGCCUGUACUGCAGAAGCUUCUUUUCUGCGUGAAAACAUUAACUUCAACCAAUAGUAUAUCCUAGAUAGUACUAUUCCCAGAAUCAUUAUGCAAUAAUGUUGCAGUUGAGAAUUCAAGAUGUUAAUCCCUAUGAACUCAAUAGCAUGUAAAUUAUUUUACUGCAGCAAUCUGGGGCCUAUAUACCUGUAUUUGACCCAAUGUGUGUAAGGUUUGUAUCGCUGACUUUGGGCUGACAAAAGAUCUAUCAAUAACCAAUAUUUUGAUAUCUAAUUUGUUUCUAGUUAGGAUUCUUAAAGUCAGUGCCAGCAGUUCUAAACGAUUUAGUAAAACCCAGGACCCAUAGUGUGUUAACAAAAGCCUCGCCUUUUUCUAAAGAUACUUGCAUUUCAAGAACUCUGAAUAGGAGAUUCAUCGACAUAGCAAACCAGAUCCAGCCGCUAUGCAUGAUUAUUUCCCUUUGCGUCAUGCUUCGAGGGCUAUUAGGACUACUAAUGCCUCUUGGAAGGUGGUAAUGUCAGCAUUGUGCAUGACCCUGAAUUCCACCAAGAAUGCAGUUGGAAGACGUGGGCUUAAGAUUGUAAACAAGUCCCUUUCUACGUUAUACAGGAAACUAUAACCGCAUCGGCAAACAACUCGCCGACAAGGCAGUUCAUCAAGACAGCUCUAGAACCUGUGAGUUGACAGCAGGUAGUGAGCGAAUAUUUUACGCUAUUGUCUGAAAGCAGAUUAGUGUUGGCGAACAGUAAAAAAAAAAAUAAGAAGAAGAACUCUAUGGAGACUUCUUUCCUGUGCUCAAAGGAGAUAGCCAUAUUAGGCCAUGCUUUUGUCUGUAUGAUAUCCAUUGUAUACUUCUAGAAAUUUACGAGAUUCGCUCAGGAGGCGAUACCGCACUUGUGUUUUGCUGUAUUUUCCGUUGGAUAUUCAUGUUUUUGAAGAAAAAUAAACCUACCCAUUAAAUACAAACCCACUUUACAAAAUGGGGCUACAUAAGUAUUUUUCCAUGUUUUACUCAGUCAUUCCUUACAUCCAGACUGUUGAUUUAGAUCUUUAAUUCAUUAACGUUGCUCUACAGAAAGUAAACUCCUUAGCCCGAGUGUUUAUGGUUCUUGGACCUGUUAUACCCAUGUCAUGCAGACGAUUGCUACACACCUGGCAUUGAUGUAUACAGAUGUAACGUCAGGAGCUAGAAAUCUGCUAUCCUAAGGUUAAUGAGCAUUUUAGACCAGGGUUCUUCAACGUAUGUUAUAUAAGACAUUUUUUUAAAAAUGCAUAUGAAUUUUAAAAUGUAUGUUUUAGUAGAUAAGGUUGGUAACUAAAAUAAACAAACGCUUUUAUUACCGGAUAUAUAUAGAUGUAAAAUCUACUGAUUAGUUUGCAAUAGUGUCUACUUGAGGGCGCGAGGUAAAUACAUGGAUAGGAUAGAAGAUUUCACACUGACUCAGAAAUUGUAAAAUGGAACCUUAAGGAAAAGCAUAUUAUAGGCCUAUGCGUCAUUGCGUCUUGCUUUACUUUCAUCUUAUCAAAUUCAUAAUGAGGAAUUAUCGAGUAAAUUCCCAUUUUGCAUGAAUGUGAGAUCAUGACAAUAUGUCUGAUAACUAAAUGACGUAAUACCAUUCGCAUGAGUUGUACUUGUUCCACAAAAGUAGUUGUUUUUUUCUAGAUUUUAGUGUUAGACAUGUCAGGAAAAGAAAAGCAUCUAGUUACUUCAUAUAAAAGUUCUUGUGUAGUUAUUUUAGACACUAAAUUUACUUCCAAUUUAGAACGUGAUAGGUUUUCUCUCCCAACAUGUGUUUCUUUAAUGAAGUCAGCAUGUGCAUAAUGUCAAUGCACUUCGUACCCUAUCAUUAUGGAUUGCCAUACUGUUGGAAGAAAUACACGGUACAUUUAUUCUGUGAAGUUACACAUUUACACUAUGCAGUUUGCGAUGCUUUGCCAGGGUCUAAUUAGAAAUUUGAAAUUCUUUUCUGUGGCCCAAAUGAGUACUUCUAAUAUUCACAAACCCUAACGUGAGAAUUUGGAGUAUAAUAAUGAUGAUGAAUAGAAUUAUAAUAAAAACCAAGAAACGA
rnacentral:lncRNA from 1 species